CUUAGAAUGGGUCACUGUGAGUCUGGAUGACCCACUGGGUCCAAAGCACUUUGGAAAUUGUAAAUUUACAACUGCAAAGGAUUGUUUUAAAAAACAGAAAAGGUUGGGGCAAAAAUUUCUGUGUCGAUUUAUGGAAAAAUAGCUUUAUAUGGGCCUUGGUCAUAGGCGGUGUGGGAUGAAUACAGAGAACAGUGAAGAUGAGAUCAGGAACCUGAGGCUGAGAGCAGUUAAUGGAGUAAAGAUCAUAGAAUCAGUGAGGAAAAGGCUGAGAGCUUGAAUCUGCUCUGCUGAUUUCAAAAGUGGUGCAUAGUUAUGGAAUAGAACCGGUCCCAGUGAGCAGAGUUCUAAAGACUCCAUCUUGCAUCGCCACAUAGACACCUGCCCCUGCCCCUGCAAGAUCUGGGGACCCUUCUUCAACUACCUAGUCUCCUACCUGCCAGUGGGGGAUUCAGCAGGACAAGGACAAGGGCAGAAGUAAGCCUGGGGAGAGAAACUACCUUAGUAGUUUUGGGGGACACUUCUUGCCCAUUAGGCUCCUCGUUACGCUUUCUUUAAUUCCAAGGGAUCUGUCUCAUCUCUAGUUGGAAACGAAGUUACUGUCUCUAAUUUUAAGCAAGAAAAUGAGUGUAUUGCUUAGGAUUCAUUCUGGCUGCCAGUGACAGAGACUUGAAAUAAUAUUGGCCUAUACAAGAUGGAGGAUUGUUUUCUUUUCUCUCACCUGAAGUCUGGUAGGUAAUACAGGGCUGGCAUAGUAAUUUUACAAACUCUUCAGGCACCCAGGCUCCUUCUGCCUUUCUCUCCACCAUCCUUAGGGCUGGUUUCCAUUCUCAAGUUCACUUUAUGGCUGCAAUAUGGUCGCUGUAGCUCCAGCCAUCAUGUCAGCAUUCAAGGUAGAAAAAAGGAGAAAGAAGGAACCAAAAAGCGCAUCUCCCGACAAGUUAGUGCCUUUAAAGCUGGGUACGUUUACACAUCCAAUAAACUCCGUGUUUUGUUUCUAAGGAGAAAGGGAGAAUAGGUACCAGCAUUGUGGCCUUGUAGGGAUUCUGGGAAGCUCAAGGAACUGAAGGACAAGGACCAGGGCUAAUCUGGACAUCUCAGGACCCACAGAAAGUCUCUUUAGGGAGGUGUUGACAGAAAAUGCCACUCUGCUGCCUUCAAUCACUGUGAACGUCCACUCAAGAUUCAAAUUCCGGGAGAAAGACAGCCUGGACUGAAGUUUGCCUUAGCUGCCAACUGGGUGACAAGGGCAGUGGCCAGCUACCGUGACUGUCAUCCUCACUGAGCCCGGGAGUCCUUUGUCCAAGCUGAGCUCUGGUCCGGGGAAUCUGUAGGGAAAAGCUCUCUUCCCCCUUUGCUGUUGCGCCCAGUGGGAGGGAUGCCGCCUUAGCGCUCCUGAGGCCCCCAGCUCUCAGAGUUUUCUAGCAGCCUCCUCCAGUAGUCUUCCUUUAUCUAUGGUUUCAGCUACCCGCAGUCAACUGCAGUCCGAAAAUAUUACAUGGAAAAUUCCAGAAAUAAACAAUUCAUAAGUUUUCAACUGCGCGCAUGUCUGAGUAGCGUGAUGAAAUCUCGCACCAUCCCGCUGUGUCCUGCAAAUCAUGCCUUUGUCUGGUGGACGAGGCAGCCUUUGAGAUGGCCUCCAAUGAUCACUGCCUCCUGGCCUUCACAUCCUUGUUUCCUCCCCUGCCUUUGAGUGUGCGCUGGAUCUACUGACUUGCCUCCAACAAAUAGAAUGUGGCAGAACUAGUGGAACACCACUUUCAAGAUUAGGUUAUAAAAAAACUGUGGUUUCUGUCUUG
ensembl:lncRNA